rnacentral:rRNA from 1 species
ACGCUCGACACCUACGGGAGGCAGCAGUGGGGAAUAUUGCACAAUGGGGGAAACCCUGAUGCAGCGACGCCGCGUGAGCGAAGAAGUAUUUCGGUAUGUAAAGCUCUAUCAGCAGGGAANAAACUGACGGUACCUGACUAAGAAGCACCGGCUAAAUACGUGCCAANAGCCGCGGUAAUCUGAGCGGGCUGGCAAGGC